UACGUAGGGGGCGAGCGUUGUCCGGAUUUAUUGGGCGUAAAGAGCGUGUAGGCGGUUCGGUAAGUCUGUCGUGAAAUCCUGAGGCUCAACCUCGGGCGUGCGGAUGGAUACUGCCGGGCUAGAGGGUGGUAGAGGCGAGUGGAAUUCCCGGUGUAGCGGUGAAAUGCGCAGAUAUCGGGAGGAACACCAGUAGCGAAGGCGGCUCGCUGGGCCACACCCGUGGACGCU
rnacentral:rRNA from 1 species